GCUAGCCUGUAUGACGUUGUGUAAAUUAACAUAUAAUAGAAAAUAGAUACCUCAAUGUUUAUCCACUGAUGUUGUACCAAUUUUCCAAGAAUUAAUGUUUUUCUUAAAACAUCUUCAGCUUCCUCAUCUGAAAAAUAUCUGAGGGUGUUAUUUGUGCUACUAGGUAAGCUUGAGAAAACAAACUGUAUUGUUGUUGUUUAAAUGGUGUCAGUAUGUCACAGUUCAUGUGAUGUGUGUACAGAAAGGAUUUGUUUAUUACUAAUAUAAUGAAUAUGAUGUCACUUCCAGAUUAAGAUUUACAGACAUUUUUGUAUGGAAACUGAAAUGUAUUUUCUCGUACUGAUGCAAUAAUCGUAAAUUAUUAAUAAUAAUAAUUGUUGAUAUUCAGUCGCUGCUGGAUGUUUGCUGCCUCUCAUUGUCUUUGCUGUUAUAAUGGGAGUCGUUGUGUGGAUGAAGUCCAGUCAGGUUAAAAGACUUUUAAAAGGCUGUGUGUCAGGCAGUACCACAGAUUCUGCAGUGUCAGAUCAAGAAAUGCAAAAAUAUAGCUCUUGUGAAUCUAUGAGUGCUCCUACUAAUUUUUAAAAAGUUUAAUUCUGUUUUAAUUUAGAUUCAGAUCACAACCAGAUCAUUAUGCAGUUUCAUUCGUAAACAUAUUUUCCGGUUUUUAUUAAAAGGGUAAUGACACAAGGAAUCAAACUUUCCUUGAGCUUUUGACAUAUAGAGGUCUUAGUAUCAUUAAUACAUCAUGAAAGUGUCAUAUAGUUUAAAACAUCCUUAUCAUCAACAACAAAUUUAUGUCAACUCUAAAUACACUCCGUCUGGGCUGCAUUCCCCGUAUUACAGCAUAACUUUCUGCUUAACUACCCUAGUAUGAAUCAUUAUUGGAGAAACUAACUAGCAUAGUAACUUUGUUGCACAUUACGUUGGUUCAACUACAUAGUUAAUGACAUCACAUAAAUAUAUCUUUGAUACAGUGUACUAAAUGUUGCUCGCUUAUUUUACUCAAGUGCAUGAUCUGUGUAAAUCUGCAUGUCAAACUAACACACAACUAUGCUUUUAGCUUAAGAGCUGUAGUUACAACCAAAGUUUGCGAUGCAGUUUGCAAAUGUCCUUUAAAGGGUAUUUCGGGAAAUCGAUUUUUUCAUCAAAUCGUUGAAGUAUGCUGUAUUGACGUAACUUGCAUAGUUGGCUAAUGAUGGUUUUGGGAAAUGCACCCCUGGGUAUUUGUGGAUUUAAUGUCACAUGGGCAAAUUCAUUUGCAUAUGACUGCCCACAAGCAUAACGACAACAUCUAUUUUUAUAUCAUUGUAUUACAUCAUAAAUAUUAAUUUCAACCGGUAAUUACAGUUAACCAUUUCAGCUGUAAGUUUUAAACUUCAUGUCAGAAUACAGACAUUAAAAUGAUGCAGCUGAAAGAAGAAAACUUUGUCAGCGAUCAUUAGGGUUUCUCUGAAACAAGUAAACACAUAAUUUACUUAAACAGACCGUUUGAGAAGCUGUGUGAGUGAAACCUGCAACACUUCUCCAGCGUCCAAUACUGUAUGUGAAAUCAUUGGUGUUUUAGUACACAUGUAAAUAAGUGUUUGUGAAAUAUGUCUUUGUGUGUGUAUUGUUGCUGCUUUCGACCAAGAGAUUGUCUUUAAAAAAAGUUUAAUUGAUUGAAGUAGACGGUUACAGUAUAGUCUUAAAAGGGAAACUCCUUAACUGUCUUUUUCAGUCAGAAGAUGAGAAACAGGGAGGAAAGUCAUAAUAUACUGAAUUUUGUAUGUUUCUUGGGCAAGAAAUCAUACACCACUAUUAUGUAGUCAUUUAAAGAUUAGUUUAAUUUCUUAUAUACAGUGCGUACAUUGCUUGUCUUUGCUUGUAAAGCACUUUGAACUGCACUGAUAUUUAGUAAAAACAGUGUUAUAUAAAUAAAUUAUUUUUCACAACAUACAGUGUCAGUGUUCACAUGUUUACCUCUGUAUGUUGUCAUGUAAAUGCACUCAUGCAGAUUGUUUGUAUUUGUGGAAACUUUUGCGUUGCUGUUAAUUUUACAUGCAUUGUACAUUUCUUACAGUGAUGAAUCUAAGUAUAUUUUAGAAACAAAGUUUGGGUGUAUUAUCUGAGAGGUGACUUUAUUUUCUUACCCAUAUAUGCAUUUAUUCAUUUUUAUAGAUAUAUUUUUUAUUUUACAUAUUUUCUGUUCUGCAUUUUUUUUCUACUGUUGUUUAU